rnacentral:rRNA from 1 species
UGCAGUCGAGCGCGCCCUUCGGGGUGAGCGGCGGACGGGUUAGUAACGCGUGGGAAUGUACCCUUCUCUACGGAAUAGCCUUUGGAAACGAAGAGUAAUACCGUAUACGCCCUUCGGGGGAAAGAUUUAUCGGAGAAGGAUCAGCCCGCGUUAGAUUAGAUAGUUGGUGGGGUAAUGGCCUACCAAGUCUACGAUCUAUAGCUGGUUUUAGAGGAUGAUCAGCAACACUGGGACUGAGACACGGCCCAGACUCCUACGGGAGGCAGCAGUGGGGAAUCUUAGACAAUGGGCGCAAGCCUGAUCUAGCCAUGCCGCGUGAGUGAUGAAGGCCUUAGGGUCGUAAAGCUCUUUCGCCAGAGAUGAUAAUGACAGUAUCUGGUAAAGAAACCCCGGCUAACUCCGUGCCAGCAGCCGCGGUAAUACGGAGGGGGUUAGCGUUGUUCGGAAUUACUGGGCGUAAAGCGCGCGUAGGCGGACCAGAAAGUUGGGGGUGAAAUCCCGGGGCUCAACCCCGGAACUGCCUCCAAAACUCCUGAUCUAGAGUUCGAGAGAGGUGAGUGGAACUCCGAGUGUAGAGGUGAAAUUCGUAGAUAUUCGGAAGAACACCAGUGGCGAAGGCGGCUCACUGGCUCGAUACUGACGCUGAGGUGCGAAAGUGUGGGGAGCAAACAGGAUUAGAUACCCUGGUAGUCCACACCGUAAACGAUGAAUGCCAGUCGUCGGGUAGUAUACUAUUCGGUGACACACCUAACGGAUUAGGCAUUCCGCCUGGGGAGUACGGUCGCAAGA